rnacentral:rRNA from 1 species
UUGCUAGUAAUCGCGAAUCAGAAUGUCGCGGUGAAUGCGUUCCCGGGUCUUGUACACACCGCCCGUCACACCAUGGAAGUUGGGGUGCCCAAAGCCGGCAAGCAAAUAUGCUGUCUAAGGCAAAACCAAUGACUGGGGUGAAGUCGUAACAAGGUAAC